AUUCCAUGAUGCGGACAGUCUGAUAUGUAUGCUUGAAAAUGCUCCCAUGCUUGUGGAAUAGGUUCACCUUUCUACUAAUGAAAUUCUGAAAUCAUCCCUCAUAAGAUA
rfam:Sorghum bicolor cultivar BTx623 chromosome 10, whole genome shotgun sequence.